CUUGAAUCCAAUUCAAAAAUUCAUCCAUGAAAUCACCCUCCCUAGCUCUUUUUCUCCGCCACUCUUUCAAAUAAUUAGAGGCCAUAUUCAAUUUGGCUGGAAAGAAAACACAUGGAAAAAAGAAAGUAGAAAAAUAAUAAUAUAAAUAACAGUGUGAACUUGUAGAUCAACCAUUAUAAAAUUGUUUUGUUUUUUUAGAACAAUUGGCAACUUGUGAAACAGGACAUAAUGCAUAAUGAAUAUCUUUUACUCUUGGUAAAAAAUAUGUCGAUACCAGUACUUUUAGAUUUUUACUAUUAGCAUUUCCUAUAGCACUGCUAAUGCACUAACAAAUUACUAUUGGAAUAAUUCAACUAAUGCGUCCCAUUUCUACCACACAUAGUGAAAAUACAAUCUAUGACAAUUACAGUUAAACACAAAUUUAAUUAUAUGAAAAAAUACCACUGGAUAAACAAAAACAACAGUACUGGCAUCAAAAUAGGCUUCAUUUUCUAAUUGAAUUGGAUAGCCUAACUAGCAGCUUUUAAACUUGGCUCCAACAGAGAGAGCAGGCCCUUAUUUACUUUCAUGACAACACACGUUAGCAUGGACUAUUUAAUGCUGGCUAAACUAGCCACAAGCUAGCCCUCGUAGUAGCAACCAGGCUACAUGCGAACUCGAGUUUAACAUUUGCUGUAAAUGCAUUUCACCGUCACGCAUCAUGAUGCACGACGGUGGGAGGACCAAAGCUUGCAAAAAUAAACAUUUUCUAUAAUAUCUCCUUCAGCCCCCACCUCUUUUCUGCAGAAUGUAUAACUCUCAAACUCAGUGACUCCUGGAACUUCUGGUGUACUCCGACGGUCGUGAGGUCGAGUGUGUACAAAGCGCAAUGCUUCAGCCGGAUGUUGUGCGGUCCACAAUUUGAAGCCGUUUUCAUGUUUUGGUCCGAUUAUGGUCCGAUCUCCAAACGGGUGUUAAGAUGGGCUCUUGCAGAGCUACCAAAUACUUUUUGUCGCUCAUCUCGUAGUAUUGCGGCUAUGCCGAUAACUUUUAUCAGGGACUACUUUGCUCUUGGCGGAAUUAGAAUCUACCAGAAGUGGUUGCACGGUGGAUCACGUGAGCGUGCUCCACCAACAAGGUGGCUGGAUUAUUGUCACGGUGGCAGCCGGUGUUACCGAGACGGAUAAAACACAUGAAAUCUAAGAAUUAAAUUGAAUUUCAGCGACCAACUUUGUUGUCGAGUACUCAGCAGGACCCAAGCUUUAAGAUCCGAAGUUGUUUUUUAUUUUAUUUUUCUGCCGUAUAUGCGUUUCGACCGGACAUGGCGAAAAGACUGGUUACGCUCAGGAGUAUGAUAGUCCCAUAGAUUGAGAUCAGUUCUGCAACGUUCAGUUAUCAUUUUCAAUAAUCAACUCUUGAAGUGCAGAUUAAAAUCGAUUGUCUAGAUUCGGUCUAUAUGUAGACGUUGAAAUGACGUAUAAAUUUAUACGUCUAAAUCACGUCUAGAAAUAGACUGAAUCUAGACGUUGAAAUGAAGUAUAAAUGUAUACGUGUAAAUGACGUCUACAUCUAUACUAUGCUGCAUAUCUCUCCACGGUAUCAUAAGUAAUGUAAUCCAGUAUUUAGAGGUCAGUUAUGCACAUUACAGUUGUUUAUUGCAUAAAUAGUUAUCGAAAAAUGAAGUUGAGGGCGAAGUAUAAAUCACGUCUAGAAAUAGACUGAAUCUAGACGUUGAAAUGAAGUAUAAAUUUAUACGUGUAAAUGACGUCUACAUCUAUACUAUGCUGCAUAUCUCUCCACGUAUCAUAAGUAAUGUAAUCCAGUAUUUAGAGGUCAGUUAUGCACAUUACAGGUGUUGAUUGCAUAAAAAGUUAUCGAAAAAUGAAGUUGAGGGCGAAGUAUAAAUCACGUCUAGAAAUAGACUGAAUCUAGACGUUGAAAUGAAGUAUAAAUUUAUACGGCUAAAUCACGUCUAGAAAUAGACUGAAUCUAGACGUUGAAAUGAAGUAUAAAUUUAUACGUCUAAAUCACGUCUAGAAAUAGACUGAAUCUAGACGUUGAAAUGAAGUAUAAAUUUAUACGUGUAAAUGACGUCUACAUCUAUCCUAUGCUGCAUAUCUCUCCACGGUAUCAUAAGUAAUGUAAUCCAGUAUUUAGAGGUCAUUUAUGCACAUUACAGUUGUUUAUUGCAUAAAAAGUUAUCGAAAAAUGAAGUUGAGGGCGAAGUAUAAAUCACGUCUAGAAAUAGACUGAAUCUAGACGUUGAAAUGAAGUAUAAAUUUAUACGUCUAAAUCACGUCUAGAAAUAGACUGAAUCUAGACGUUGAAAUGAAGUAUAAAUUUAUACGUCUAAAUCACGUCUACAUCUAUACUAUGCUGCAUAUCUCUCCACGAUAUCAUAAGUAAUGUAAUUCAGUAUUUAGAGGUCAGUUAUGCACAUUACAGUUGUGUAUUGCAAAAAUAGUUAUCGAAAAAUGAAGUUGAGGGCGAAGUAUAAAUCACGUCUAGAAAUAGACUGAAUCUAGACGUUGAAAUGAAGUAAAAAUUUAUACGUCUAAAUCACGUCUAGAAAUAGACUGAAUCUAGACGUUGAAAUGACGUAUACAUUUAUACGUCUAAAUCACGUCUAGAAAUAGACUGAAUCUAGACGUUGAAAUGAAGUAUAAAUUUAUACGUCUAAAUCACGUCUAGAAAUAGACUGAAUCUAGACGUUGAAAUGAAGUAAAAAUUUAUACGUCUAAAUCACGUCUAGAAAAGACUGAAUCUAGACGUUGAAAUGAAGUAUAAAUUUAUACGUCUAAAUCACGUCUAGAAAUAGACUGAAUCUAGACGUUGAAAUGACGUAUACAUUUAUACGUCUAAAUCACGUCUAGAAAUAGACUGAAUCUAGACGUUGAAAUGAAGUAUAAAUUUAUACGUCUAAAUCACGUCUAGAAAUAGACUGAAUCUAGACGUUGAAAUGACGUAUACAUUUAUACGUCUAAAUCACGUCUAGAAAUAGACUGAAUCUAGACGUUGAAAUGAAGUAUAAAUUUAUACGUGUAAAUGACGUCUACAUCUAUACUAUGCUGCAUAUCUCUCCACGGUAUCAUAAGUAAUGUAAUCCAGUAUUAAAAGGUCAGUUAUGCACAUUACAGUUGUUUAUUGCAUAAAUAGUUAUCGAAAAAUGAAGUUGAGGGCGAAGUAUAAAUCACGUCAAGAAAUAGACUGAAUCUAGACGUUGAAAUGAAGUAUAAAUGUAUACGUCUAAAUCACGUCUAGAAAUAGACUGAAUCUAGACGUUGAAAUGAAGUAUAAAUUUAUACUUGUAAAUGACGUCUACAUCUAUACUAUACUGCAUAGCCUAUCUCUCCACGGUAUCAUAAGUAAUGUAAUCCAGUAUUUAGAGGUCAAUUAUGCACAUUACAGUUGUUUAUUGCAUAAAUAGUUAUCGAAAAAUGAAGUUGAGGGCGAAGUAUAAAUCACGUCUAGAAAUAGACUGAAUCUAGACGUUGAAAUGAAGUAAAAAUUUAUACGUCUAAAUCACGUCUAGAAAAAGACUGAAUCUAGACGUUGAAAUGAAGUAUAAAUUUAUACGUCUAAAUCACGUCUAGAAAUAGACUGAAUCUAGACGUUGAAAUGACGUAUACAUUUAUACGUCUAAAUCACGUCUAGAAAUAGACUGAAUCUAGACGUUGAAAUGAAGUAUAAAUUUAUACGUCUAAAUCACGUCUAGAAAUAGACUGAAUCUAGACGUUGAAAUGACGUAUACAUUUAUACGUCUAAAUCACGUCUAGAAACAGACUGAAUCUAGACGUUGAAAUGAAGUAUAAAUUUAUACGUGUAAAUGACGUCUACAUCUAUACUAUGCUGCAUAUCUCUCCACGGUAUCAUAAGUAAUGUAAUCCAGUAUUAAAAGGUCAGUUAUGCACAUUACAGUUGUUUAUUGCAUAAAUAGUUAUCGAAAAAUGAAGUUGAGGGCGAAGUAUAAAUCACGUCUAGAAAUAGACUGAAUCUAGACGUUGAAAUGAAGUAAAAAUUUAUACGUCUAAAUCACGUCUAGAAAAAGACUGAAUCUAGACGUUGAAAUGAAGUAUACAUUUAUACGUCUAAAUCACGUCUAGAAACAGACUGAAUCUAGACGUUGAAAUGAAGUAUAAAUUUAUACGUGUAAAUGACGUCUACAUCUAUACUAUGCUGCAUAUCUCUCCACGGUAUCAUAAGUAAUGUAAUCCAGUAUUUAGAGGUCAGUUAUGCACAUUACAGUUGUUUAUUGCAUAAAUAGUUAUCGAAAAAUGAAGUUGAGGGCGAAGUAUAAAUCACGUCUAGAAAUAGACUGAAUCUAGACGUUGAAAUGACGUAUACAUUUAUACGUCUAAAUCACGUCUAGAAAAAGACUGAAUCUAGACGUUGAAAUGAAGUAUAAAUUUAUACGUCUAAAUCACGUCUAGAAAUAGACUGAAUCUAGACGUUGAAAUGACGUAUACAUUUAUACGUCUAAAUCACGUCUAGAAAAAGACUGAAUCUAGACGUUGAAAUGAAGUAUAAAUUUAUACGUCUAAAUCACGUCUAGAAAUAGACUGAAUCUAGACGUUGAAAUGACGUAUACAUUUAUACGUCUAAAUCACGUCUAGAAAUAGACUGAAUCUAGACGUUGAAAUGAAGUAUAAAUUUAUACGUCUAAAUCACGUCUAGAAAUAGACUGAAUCUAGACGUUGAAAUGACGUAUACAUUUAUACGUCUAAAUCACGUCUAGAAAUAGACUGAAUCUAGACGUUGAAAUGAAGUAUAAAUUUAUACGUGUAAAUGACGUCUACAUCUAUACUAUGCUGCAUAUCUCUCCACGGUAUCAUAAGUAAUGUAAUCCAGUAUUAAAAGGUCAGUUAUGCACAUUACAGUUGUUUAUUGCAUAAAUAGUUAUCGAAAAAUGAAGUUGAGGGCGAAGUAUAAAUCACGUCAAGAAAUAGACUGAAUCUAGACGUUGAAAUGAAGUAUAAAUUUAUACUUGUAAAUGACGUCUACAUCUAUACUAUACUGCAUAGCCUAUCUCUCCACGGUAUCAUAAGUAAUGUAAUCCAGUAUUUAAAAGGUCAGUUAUGCACAUUACAGUUGUUUAUUGCAUAAAUAGUUAUCGAAAAAUGAAGUUGAGGGCGAAGUAUAAAUCACGUCUAGAAAUAGACUGAAUCUAGACGUUGAAAUGAAGUAUAAAUUUAUACGUGUAAAUGACGUCUACAUCUAUACUAUGCUGCAUAUCUCUCCACGGUAUCAUAAGUAAUAUAAUCCAGUAUUAAAAGGUCAGUUAUGCACAUUACAGUUGUUUAUUGCAUAAAAAGUUAUCGAAAAAUGAAGUUGAGGGUGAAGUAUAAAUCACGUCUAGAAAUAGACUGAAUCUAGACGUUGAAAUGAAGUAUAAAUGUAUACGUGUAAAUGACGUCUACAUCUAUACUAUGCUGCAUAUCUCUCCACGGUAUCAUAAGUAAUGUAAUCCAGUAUUUAGAGGUCAGUUAUGCACAUUACAGUUGUUUAUUGCAUAAAUAGUUAUCGAAAAAUGAAGUUGAGGGCGAAGUAUAAAUCACGUCUAGAAAUAGACUGAAUCUAGACGUUGAAAUGAAGUAUAAAUUUAUACGUCUAAAUCACGUCUAGAAAUAGACUGAAUCUAGACGUUGAAAUGAAGUAUAAAUUUAUACGUCUAAAUCACGUCUAGAAAUAGACUGAAUCUAGACGUUGAAAUGAAGUAUAAAUUUAUACGUCUAAAUCACGUCUAGAAAUAGACUGAAUCUAGACGUUGAAAUGACGUAUACAUUUAUACGUCUAAAUCACGUCUAGAAAUAGACUGAAUCUAGACGUUGAAAUGAAGUAUAAAUUUAUACGUGUAAAUGACGUCUACAUCUAUACUAUGCUGCAUAUCUCUCCACGGUAUCAUAAGUAAUGUAAUCCAGUAUUAAAAGGUCAGUUAUGCACAUUACAGUUGUUUAUUGCAUAAAUAGUUAUCGAAAAAUGAAGUUGAGGGCGAAGUAUAAAUCACGUCAAGAAAUAGACUGAAUCUAGACGUUGAAAUGAAGUAUAAAUUUAUACUUGUAAAUGACGUCUACAUCUAUACUAUACUGCAUAGCCUAUCUCUCCACGGUAUCAUAAGUAAUGUAAUCCAGUAUUUAGAGGUCAGUUAUGCACAUUACAGUUGUUUAUUGCAUAAAUAGUUAUCGAAAAAUGAAGUUGAGGGCGAAGUAUAAAUCACGUCUAGAAAUAGACUGAAUCUAGACGUUGAAAUGAAGUAUAAAUUUAUACGUGUAAAUGACGUCUACAUCUAUACUAUGCUGCAUAUCUCUCCACGGUAUCAUAAGUAAUAUAAUCCAGUAUUAAAAGGUCAGUUAUGCACAUUACAGUUGUUUAUUGCAUAAAUAGUUAUCGAAAAAUGAAGUUGAGGGUGAAGUAUAAAUCACGUCUAGAAAUAGACUGAAUCUAGACGUUGAAAUGAAGUAUAAAUGUAUACGUGUAAAUGACGUCUACAUCUAUACUAUGCUGCAUAUCUCUCCACGGUAUCAUAAGUAAUGUAAUCCAGUAUUUAGAGGUCAGUUAUGCACAUUACAGUUGUUUAUUGCAUAAAUAGUUAUCGAAAAAUGAAGUUGAGGGCGAAGUAUAAAUCACGUCUAGAAAUAGACUGAAUCUAGACGUUGAAAUGAAGUAUAAAUUUAUACGUCUAAAUCACGUCUAGAAAUAGACUGAAUCUAGACGUUGAAAUGAAGUAUAAAUUUAUACGUCUAAAUCACGUCUAGAAAUAGACUGAAUCUAGACGUUGAAAUGAAGUAUAAAUGUAUACGUGUAAAUGACGUCUACAUCUAUACUAUGCUGCAUAUCUCUCCACGGUAUCAUAAGUAAUGUAAUCCAGUAUUUAGAGGUCAGUUAUGCACAUUACAGUUGUUUAUUGCAUAAAUAGUUAUCGAAAAAUGAAGUUGAGGGCGAAGUAUAAAUCACGUCUAGAAAUAGACUGAAUCUAGACGUUGAAAUGAAGUAUACAUUUAUACGUCUAAAUCACGUCUACAUCUAUACUAUGCUGCAUAUCUCUCCACGAUAUCAUAAGUAAUGUAAUCCAGUAUUAAAAGGUCAGUUAUGCACAUUACAGUUGUUUAUUGCAUAAAUAGUUAUCGAAAAAUGAAGUUGAGGGCGAAGUAUAAAUCACGUCUAGAAAUAGACUGAAUCUAGACGUUGAAAUGAAGUAUAAAUUUAUACGUCUAAAUCACGUCUAGAAAUAGACUGAAUCUAGACGUUGAAAUGAAGUAUAAAUUUAUACGUGUAAAUGAUGUCUACAUCUAUACUAUGCUGCAUAUCUCUCCACGGUAUCAUAAGUAAUGUAAUCCAGUAUUUAGAGGUCAGUUAUGCACAUUACAGUUGUUUAUUGCAUAAAUAGUUAUCGAAAAAUGAAGUUGAGGGCGAAGUAUAAAUCACGUCUAGAAAUAGACUGAAUCUAGACGUUGAAAUGAAGUAUAAAUUUGGCGAGUACAAAUGGCAAUGAUGCGUCCGUUGUCACAGAAACAUAUAAUUAACCUCUG